GGAAAGCAGAGGAGAAGAAACGCCGCGAAGGACGCAGCCCGGCGUGGCGAACGCGGACGGCAGGGGAGAGACGCGCCGCCCGUUCUGGUGGAGCGUUUUCUCCCCGAGAAGCCGUGGUACGCGGCGCCGCGUGAUGACGUCACCCCCGGGAAACUCCGCGAAACCCGGAAGCGACAACGUCGGCGGGUGAGUGGGCGGAGCGAGGACGUUGGCGUCGGCAGCAGCGAGGAAGUGACGUGAGCAGCAAGCGCAGAAGAUGCGACCCCCACGAUCUUCGCCAUGUCGAGCCAAGAACUCUGCGCUCUGCUGGCAAGGCUCCCCGUGGACUGGGACGACACGGACGACGACGAGAGCACGGGAGACGAGAGUUGGGCUCCGGUGGGAGGACACGGAUGACGAAAGUGAUGAUGACGUGGAUUUUCGGUGGGCGGUCGGUGCCGGGAUGGCUCCGCCCAGCGUGCGCGUCCGAGAUCAUCGCGGCGUCCGUGAUGACCCAUGUGACUUCCGGGGGUACGAGGUUGACACGGACGACGACCAGGAUGACGCCGUUUGGGCAGUCGGUGCCGGGAUGGCUCCGCCCAUCGCGCCCAUCCAGGAUCGUCACGAGGUCCGUGGAGACCCACGUCCCUCCCAGCAGUGUGAGGAAAGCUGGAGGAAGAGGGCGACGGGAGGUCGCCAGCCAGCAACUGCGCUGCCGGGACUGCCUCGCAGGGAAUCCUCCAUUCCUGCUCCAGUCGCCGACCCGCCUUCCCUCUGCCCGGACGUUCCCCAGCGAAAUGGCAGCGCAGCACCAGCGUCCACACCUGCUGGAGAAGACGUCCAUCCCCCUCCACACCACACACCUACCACCAUCUCCAGCGACGUGCCCAGCCCCGUGUGGGACAGCCCAAUUGUCCCGGGACCCUUCAGUGGGGCAGCAGACACAGACGAGAUCACUACCAUCCUCACGUGUCUGACUGGAUCAGCAUGGGGCUGGAGCACAACCCUCUGGCAGCAGGGAG
rnacentral:lncRNA from 1 species